rnacentral:ncRNA from 4 species
UACGGAGGGUGCGAGCGUUAAUCGGAAUUACUGGGCGUAAAGCGUACGCAGGCGGUUUGUUAAGCGAGAUGUGAAAGCCCCGGGCUCAACCUGGGAACUGCAUUUCGAACUGGCAAACUAGAGUGUGAUAGAGGGUGGUAGAAUUUCAGGUGUAGCGGUGAAAUGCGUAGAGAUCUGAAGGAAUACCGAUGGCGAAGGCAGCCACCUGGGUCAACACUGACGCUCAUGUACGAAAGCGUGGGGAGCAAACAGG